UACGUAGGGCGCAAGCGUUGUCCGGAAUUAUUGGGGCGUAAAAGAGCUCGUAGGCGGCUUGUCACGUCGGGUGUGAAAGCCCGGGGCUUAACCCCGGGUCUGCAUUCGAUACGGGCUAGCUAGAGUGUGGUAGGGGAGAUCGGAAUUCCUGGUGUAGCGGUGAAAUGCGCAGAUAUCAGGAGGAACACCGGUGGCGAAGGCGGAUCUCUGGGCCAUUACUGACGCUGAGGAGCGAAAGCGUGGGGAGCGAACAGG
rnacentral:rRNA from 1 species